rnacentral:rRNA from 1 species
CCCUAUGGGGUGCAACCUUGAUCUAUGGAAGCCGCAGUAAAGAGCUUUCAGGUUCGGAAACGGCCACAACCAACAACCGAAUGGAGCUGACGGCAGCGAUUGCGGCGCUUAGCGCGCUGAAAGAGCCUUGUGAAGUAGAUUUAUUUACUGACAGCGCAUACCUGUGCAAUGGCUUUACAAACGGAUGGAUUUAUAACUGGCAACGGAAUAGCUGGCAGACCAGCAAAAACCAGCCCGUUGAGAACCGUGAUCUAUGGGAGCAGCUGAUCGCACACGCAAAGACGCAUAAGAUUCAUUGGCACAAGGUCAAAGGCCACAGUGACAAUCCCUUUAACAACCGAUGCGAUGAAUUGGCGGGGGAGC